rnacentral:lncRNA from 1 species
UAGAAAAUUAUGCCUGUAAAUGUUCUCUACAGAUGAUCAGUACAAGAAGAGAUCAUUGUGAUGUGCUGAAGCGAAUUGUUUUUAAUUUUACUUUGCUAAUCAUUCUCUACCACAAGCUGUAAACAACCUAUGUAACCAGUUCAAACCCCUGUUUGUGUUAAGAAUGUGAAUUCUGCAGCAAAGGCAUUACCCCAGGAGGCCACUCUUAAAAG